UGGGAAUUUUGGACAAUGGCGCAAGCCUGAUCCAGCCAUGCCGCGUGCGGGAAGAAGGCCUUCGGGUUGUAAACCGCUUUUGUCAGGGAAGAAAUCUUCUGAGUUAAUACCUCGGGAGGAUGACGGUACCUGAAGAAUAAGCACCGGCUAACUACGUGCCAGCAGCCGCGGUAAUACGUAGGGGUGCAAAGCGUUAAUCGGAAUUACUGGGCGUAAAGCGUGCGCAGGCGGUUUUGUAAGACAGAGGUGAAAUCCCGGGCUCAACCUGGGAACUGCCUUUGUGACUGCAAGGCUUGAGUGCGGCANAGGGGGGAUGGAAUUCCGCGUGUAGCGUGAAAUGCGUAGAUAUGCGGAGGAAACACCGAUGGCGAAAGGCAAUCCCCUCGGGCCUGCACUGGACGCUCAUGCACGAAAGCGUGGGGAGCAAACAGAUUAGAUACCCUGGUAGUCCACGCCCUAAACGAUGUCAACUGGUU
rnacentral:rRNA from 1 species